UUGUGGAGGAGGACGCCGAAGGUGGGGCUAAUGACUGGGGUGAAGUCGUAACAAGGUAGCCGUACCGGAAGGUGCGGCUGGAUCACCUCCUAACAGGGAGACAACAAAAUGUUUAAUAUUAUUAUUUUGUCACCUUAGGUCGAUCGGUAUCUCACGUUCUUAUAUUAAGAAUUUCAUUUCCUAAGUUUUUUCUAGGUCACACCCAUUAUUUUUCCUGGGCCAUUAGCUCAGGUGGUUAGAGCGCACCCCUGAUAAGGGUGAGGUCCCUGGUUCAAGUCCAGGAUGGCCCAUAUCUCUAUGUUGGGGGUAUAGCUCAGUUGGUAGAGCGCCUGCUUUGCAAGCAGGAUGUCAGCGGUUCGAGUCCGCUUACCUCCACUGAUUACCACCUCUUCCAUAAUUUGAAGAAAGGAAAUUUUUUGAGUUGUGAUCAAAUUCUGAACGAAUCUAGCUUCCUAAUGAAUCUAUUAAGAUGCUGGACUCAUUGAAUUAAUUUUCAUUGUUUUCAGAGAACCUUGACAACUGCAUAGAUUAUUUUUAAAGACAAUAAGCAUCUUUAAUGAUGCAGAUUUAUUAUUUGUGCGAAUGCAUUAAUAACAAUUCUAUUAAGCUGAUGCUUCAAUUUAAUGAAGUUAUUGGUCAAGCUACAA
rnacentral:misc_RNA from 1 species